UUCAGCAAAGAACUAACUAGCAACAAUGCCUGUAACUCAUUAUCUACCAUAAUUUUUAUAGUUGUCAACUAGUUCACCAAACCCAAAAAAUCUCUCAUAUGCUCAAACACAUUACACCCAUCUUUACACUUUAGAUUCAUCGAUCUUCUAAAUAAAUAGGCUUUAUUCUAUGCACUUGGACACUCAUACAGUCUCUAAUU
rnacentral:lncRNA from 1 species